CAUGAAGCUGGAAUCGCUAGUAAUCNCGGAUCAGAAUGCCGCGGUGAAUACGUUCCCGGGUCUUGUACACACCGCCCGUCACACCAUGGGAGUCGGAAAUGCCCGAAGUCUGUGACCCAACCGGAAGGAAGGAGCAGCCGAAGGCAGGUCUGAUGACUGGGGUGAAGUCGUAACAAGGUACC
rnacentral:rRNA from 1 species